GCAAGAUCGAGAAUAGGAAAGACGCAGUCUUCGGGCUGAUGAUCCUUCUCCAUCUUAUUAGAACAUAGAUCGCAGGCCAGUCAGCAUGACGAUCGCUUUGCAGGCGUGCCGCUUUCGUUUUUCUUUCUUCAUUGUUGAUUGACACUUGUACCGCUCACGAGCCGUAUUGCAGCUGCGCUGCUUGGCUCUGCGCGAGCGCGCCGCAUGAGCGGCGACGGACUAGCGUCCUGUAUUUGGUUCUAACGGUUUGUUUGUUGGUUGUGAUACAAGGGCUUGUAGCUCAGUUGGUUAGAGCACACGCUUGAUAAGCGUGGGGUCGGAGGUUCAAGUCCUCCCAGGCCCACCAACUUGUGAUAAGGGGCCAUAGCUCAGCUGGGAGAGCACCUGCUUUGCAAGCAGGGGGUCGUCGGUUCGAUCCCGUCUGGCUCCACCAUCACUUUUUUGGUGUCGAGUAGGACGGAUAGACAGUCAGUCAACAAGAGAAAGAACCAAGUUUGCGGACUUUACGAAGUGUGCGUGUUCCGUAUGAAAUCGCGAAGAGAAGAUGUAAUCGGAUCAACUAUCCAGUCGAUGUCGCAAUGGUUUGCUCAAACCUUGCAUUAUGAUUGGACGCUAACCGCGCCACCGAUUG
rnacentral:tRNA from 1 species